rnacentral:lncRNA from 1 species
GGAACUUUUGAAAAGAUGUUCUAGUUUUUAAAAUUUGCUAUGGAUUACAACUUUGAAGGUGCAAAUUUUUGUCAGUUAAUUUUAGUUAGUUGUCUAGUUUGUUAAGUUUUUAUUUUUGUUUUCUAGUUUUGUUUUGCUUGAGGACGAGCAAAAAGCUAUGUUUGGGGGUAUUUUGAUGAGUAGAUUUUAUAUUAUAUAUUUUACCCUAAUCUUAGUAUAUUUUAGUCAAUAUUUUGGAAGAAUUUUGAUACUUUGAAUUGUAUUUUCAAUAUAGGACUUUAGACUUCCUCUAGAGCAAAACAGGAUCAAAUGGACGAAUUUUGGAGUAAUUCUAGUUUAACGACGUUCAUGAGUCAUUUAGCUUGAUCAUAUCAAAAUUUGGGAUUUUUCCACCAAGCGGUUAUUUUCUGGCGAUAAAAUAAAGAAGCAAUGCGCAGUGCUGGAAAAUGACGUUUCAGGGUUUAAAUUGAGUUUUUGGAGCCCAAGAUGACCUCAGAUGGUUUCGUGGCCUUCUGGAGAAGUGUUCAGAAUAUUCCAAACAUUAAGUCCAGCUAUAUUGGACCAGUUUUGGACCAGCUUAUGGGUCCAAAAUGUGGCUCUUCAGAUUUGAGGUGAAUUUUACCAUUUAAUUUAGGGUUAUGUUUCCUAUUUUAGUUUAUUAUUAAUUCUUAGUCUCCUAGUGGGAAUAAAGGACCUGUUUUUAGGGUUUCUGGAUGGCUUAGCAAAUAUAUUGCUUUGCCGUUCUUUAUUUUUUACUACGCUUUAUUUUAUGCAAUUUUGGAGACAGAGAGAAUUGCUAGGGUUUUUGGAGAUUUUGUACUUGAAGGUGUUUUCAAUCAUUUUCUUAAUAAUAUUUUCUAUGAUUUCAAUUAUGAAUAUGCGUAACUAAUUCCUUUUGCUAGGGCGAAGCCUUGAGUCUUAGCAUCAAUAUGUGAUUUUUAUUUAAUUGCUUAUGAUUGAUUGCAUGCAUACUUUGAAUUGUUAAUCAUCGGGAUAAAAAUUAUCUAAUUGUCUUAAUGUCUGAUCACCAUUAGGGUCUUUAGAAAAGUAAUUUGAUGCAAUUUUGGUCGGAAGGUUCCCUGAAAUUGACGCUGGCUUCUUGUGAUUAAUAAUUGUAAUUUCACUUAGGAUGAACACCACGUCUUAAGGGUUGCAUGGUUUUUCAAAGAGUUUUCAUAAAGCAUAAUGAGUCUUUCAUGUUCAGAUUUGAUCCGAACGUCCAGACGGGUUGCAUGUUAGAUAUGCGUUCUAUGUUGGAGGUUCCAAGUAGAAUAUGAAUUAGGAAAAUCUAACCUUCAAAGUGGCAUGUGUAGAUCAUAAGUAAUUGGUAAAAGUUCAUAGGAUUGAUAGGUGAUGGUGGAACCCUAGUGCUUUCUUAAUUUGAUUUCUCCCAAAACUGUUUUCUUUUCCCUCUAGUUUUAAUAUUGCAGAGUGCCUUAUUUUUAUUAAUUAAAUUCGUUUUUAAUUUAAGUAGGUUAUAAAAUCAAUCAUCUCAAUUUCUACUUUACAAUAAUUAAUUGGAAUUUGGUUUGUUUCGAAUUAUUUAAUAAUCCCUGUGGAAAACGACCUUGCGAGAUCCGUUUAUACUACAACUCAUAAUUUAUGUUGUAGAGAUCCAUCCAUCAUGAAUCUUAAUAAGCUAGUGGGAGCUAUAAGCGUCUUAUGAGAGAAAGAUCAAAUCGUUUGAUUUCUCAUAAAGAUGUAAAUGAAUCUUUUGUUUACUAGGUUUACAAAAGAUUAGUGGGAGUCAAUCAUGUUCCUAAAUUUGAAUAUAUACAUAUAUGAUAUAUUAAUUCUGGAAAUGAAAAGAAUACUUCUUCGUUAAAGUUAUGACUUUAAACAUUCUAUAAUGAUAGAAUGUAUAUGGGAGACAUAGUCUAUAAACAUGGGAUGGAAAUCUAUAAUGAUAGAUUUCAGGAUAUAAUUGGAUUAUAUCAAGCCCUAAUGAUAGACAAAAGAUGCUAGGAAGUUUCUCAUAUGAUGAUAAACUUCAAUCAGAAGAACAACUCUAGUGAGACUAGGAGGUAGCUCUUCUCAAAGGGAACGUACCCUUUGACUCCCAAAGAAGUAAUGCGUAAAUAGAAUCCUUUAUGUAUACACAAAAAAAGUGAUUUAUGUAUUUCAUAUUGUAUGAAAACGUUGAUAUGAGCUGUACCAAGAUCGGUACAAGACGAUAUCAAUGCAAGCCCAGGAUCAGAACCAUGACAACUGUCAAGUGAAUCCUUAAGUAUUUGAGAAAUAAUAAAGGAUGGAUUCCUCAAGAAUAAGGAAGAAUUAGAGUAAUGUAAUGGAAGCGUAAAUGUAUUAGAUUAUGAAUCUAAUCCAUCAUUGGAUGUUUCUUCAUUAUGAAUGAAGAGAUAAUCAGAUAUCUUUUUAUUAUGACUAAAGAGAUAUUUGGAUGGAAACAUUAAAAGUAAUGACUUUAGUGUGUUCCAUUGUGAAAGAAAAAUAUAUUGCCAUAUAGAAGCUUACAACAAUGUUGUUUGGAUAAGAAAGUUCAUUCAUGAACUCUCUAUUCAGUUCCAACCAGAAAGUGUCUUUAGUGUACCAACACUGCGACACUAAUGGGGCGAUAGGUCAAGCUAGGGAAUCAAGGUCUCAUCAUGAUUCGAACUCAAAUGAGAGACUAAACCACAUGAUUAAGAAUCAUGUACAACAAUGGUGACGUCAUUAUUCUCAAGGUUGCUUCUAUGGAUAACAUAUAGAUAUUCCUUAUCUAGGCCUACUACUCAUCCAUUUUUGAAAUGACUACAGAAGAGGUAUCAUCAUUGAUGACCAAGCUGAUUGGCCCUAGUGCAAGUGAGAGAUUGUUGGAAAUGUGCCCUAAAACCAAUCAUAUGAUGAUACUUUACGAACAUUUCACAUGUUAAACUAAUAUAGUUUAAUUUAAAGGGCAAAGAUUAUUGUUUGAAGCCGUCUCAUAUAAAUGUUAUACACUUAAACGAUAAGUCCAAGGAAUAUGUAAUUGGGAGAAUGCGAUCUAAAGAAGUUUGAUUCAUGAGACCAUUCUCUUUCGUAGACAUAUCCUAAACGUUCCUGAUCAUAGGAUUGCCAAUUGGGCAUUGACAGUUCGUUAAGAUCAGUACGUGCUAUGUCUUCUCUUAGGGACUGUGACUAACACCAAGACAAGUACGUAGCUGCUAAAUAGAGAAUGAGUUCACUGAACACGAUCAAUAAGGAGUUCUCAUACUCAUGUCACAUGAGAACUCAUGGUUGGGAUAAUGCAAAGUAGUCAUUUGACCUAAGGCAUCAUAGUUGUUUUGUGGUUAGGUCCUUGAUAUUUGACUAUGUCAAAAUCACUCCAUCCGAAUGUGUCCACAACAUAGUUAGGGUUAAGCCACUUAGCCAUGGAGGCAAGUGAAUGCGCAACAAGGGAUCUCUAACCUUCAAACUGUUUGAGGGAUAAUACUCUAUGAUAUGAUUAAGAAUCUCUGGCCAGAGUAUGAAUGAGACUUAGGAAGUUCAUUCAAGGUAAUCAUAUAAGUAAAUGAAUCACAUUGGAUAGUAGACAUGAAUAAACUAUCAAACCAAACAAUGUGGUCAAAAGUAUUAUAUUAGAGAAAGACCGUAUUGCAUUUUAAUCCUAAACUGAAUAGGUUCUCCACCUCUUCUGAUUAGCUUGGGUAACCAUGACACACUGCUAGGUGUCACUCAUGGUUUGUGGAAGCCCUAAACAUGUAUAAUCACUAAAGGGAGAAUUGAAAAUAAGUUUCAAUUCACAAUCGAUUUGAAAGAGUUCUCAUCGCCCACUGCCUCGCUAAAAGGAACCUAAUGGAUCACAUACCGUGUAAGGUAAUGCUUGAAGGAUUUGAUGGAGAUGAGUAAGGACAAUUAAAUGGUUUAAUUGUUUAUGGCAAUAAUUAAUUAAUAUGCUAAUUAAUCAAACGAAUAAGUUCGUUUUAAACCUUGAGUUAAUUUUGGGCCUUAAAGCCUAAAUUGGGCUUCGAAUCGUCGAGCCCAUUAGCUUAAGUUGUAUGACAACUUAACAAACAAAAUUCAAGAGGCCCAAAACAGCCCAAAGGCUUAGGAAAACAUGCCAUAGAGAGAGAGGAAGGGCCUUUUGUUCCAAAAUGCAUACAAAAGUUGAAAGCAUAGAAGGGGUAUCUUUGCUCCAUCCUCAUUGGGGUUUUCUAAGGAUGAAAAGUGAGAAAAACUCUCUCUCUUUUCUCUCUAGAAUAGCCGGUCACCAUGGGAGAGUUUACUAGCAUCUAACUCUUCCAUGGCCACUCAUCUUCUUCCUCAACCAUCCUUGGUGUCGGAACUUAAAGGUCUCCAACUUUGGGGACUUUUGGAGAAACCAAUUCUUCCAUCCAUUCCAAGAAGGCAUGGAGCCAAGAAGCAAAGUUCCUCCAUCCACAUCCAUGGAGCCAAGGAGUAAGGUGACAAAGGAAAGAAGGCCCUCACAUGGGUGAUUAACCUUUGCUAAGCAAAGAGGUGCUUCAAAGGUAUAAAAUUUCUCAACUCACUUUGUGCUUGAGUUGAGUCUUGGUUCACAUAACUACUAGGCUUUGAAUUUCAUGGGUAAUGUUUUGUUUUGAGCGCCAAAAAUUUGAUGUGAAAAUUAUGUUGACACUCAAAUUAACCCUCUUUUUAUCAAUUGUAGCAAGUAUGUAAGUAGGGAUCGUUCUAGGCCGGGGAUUAUGAGGGAUUGCAAAAUCACU